GAACGCUAGCGGGAGGCUACACAUGCUUACCGAGCGGUAGAGAUUCUUCGGAAUCUUGCAGAGCGGCGCACGGGUGCGGAACACUGUGUGCAACCUGCCUUUAUCUUGGGGGAUAGCCUUUCGAAACGGGAGAUUAAUACCCCAUAAUAUACUGAGUGGCAUCACUUAUUAUUGAAAACUCCGGUGGAUAGAGAUGGGCACGCGCAAGAUUAGAUAGUUGGUGAGGUAACGGCUCACCAAGUCAAUGAUCUUUAGGGGGCCUGAGAGGGUGAUCCCCCACACUGGUACUGAGACACGGACCAGACUCCUACGGGAGGCAGCAGUGAGGAAUAUUGGACAAUGGGUGAGAGCCUGAUCCAGCCAUCCCGCGUGAAGGACGACGGCCCUAUGGGUUGUAAACUUCUUUUGUACAGGGAUAAACCUCUCCACGUGUGGAAAGCUGAAGGUACUGUACGAAUAAGCACCGGCUAACUCCGUGCCAGACAGCCGCCGUGUAAUACGGAGGGUGCAAGCGUUAUCCGGAUUCUAUUUGGGUUUCAACAGGGUCCAGUAGGCAGGAUCUGUAAGGUCAGUGGUGAAAUCUCAUAGCCUUAAGCCAGU
rnacentral:rRNA from 1 species